rnacentral:rRNA from 1 species
ACGUCCUACGGGGGGCAGCAGUGGGGGAUAUUGCACAAUGGGGGAAACCCUGAUGCAGCGACGCCGCGUGGGCGAAGAAGUAUUUCGGUAUGUAAAGCCCUAUCAGCAGGGAAGAAGAAAUGACGGUACCUGAGUAAGAAGCACCGGCUAAAUACGUGCCAGCAGCCGCGGUAAUACGUAUGGUGCAAGCGUUAUCCGGAUUUACUGGGUGUAAAGUGAGUGCAGGCGUCACGGCCUGCCUG